rnacentral:misc_RNA from 1 species
GAAAUGCGAUAAGUAAUGUGAAUUGCAGAAUUCAGUGAAUCAUCGAAUCUUUGAACGCACAUUGCGCCCCCUGGUAUUCCGGGGGCAUGCCUGUUCGAGCGUCAUUUCACCACUCAAGCCUCGCUUGGUAUUGGGCGACGCGGUCCGCCGCGCGCCUCAAAUCGACCGGCUGGGUCUUCUGUCCCCUCAGCGUUGUGGAAACUAUUCGCUAAAGGGUGCCACGGGAGGCCACGCCGCAAAACAAACCCAUUUCUAAGGUUGACCUCGGAUCAGGUAGGGAUACCCGCUGAACUUAAGC